GAAAAAGAAUGUGCUGAGUGUAGUGGUGU
rnacentral:piRNA from 1 species